rnacentral:rRNA from 1 species
ACGCUGGCGGCACGCCUAACACAUGCAAGUCGAACGAAGUAGCAAUACUUAGUGGCAGACGGGUGAGUAACAUGUAGGUAUCUGCCCUUUGGCCUGGAAUAACACGAGGAAACUUGUGCUAAUACCGGAUAAGUCUUUACAGAGAAAGCUUUAUGCACCAUUGGAUGAGCCUGCACUUGAUUAGUUUGUUGGUGGGGUAAUGGCCUACCAAGACUGUGAUCAAUAGCUGAUUUGAGAGGAUGAUCAGCCACAUUGGGACUGAGACACGGCCCAAACUCCUACGGGAGGCAGCAGUGGGGAAUCUUGCACAAUGGAGGAAACUCUGAUGCAGCGAUGCCGCGUGAGUGAAGAAGGCCUUUGGGUUGUAAAGCUCUUUCGUCGGGGAAGAAAAUGACUGUACCCGAAUAAGAAGGUCCGGCUAACUUCGUGCCAGCAGCCGCGGUAAUACGAAGGGACCUAGCGUAGUUCGGAAUUACUGGGCUUAAAGAGUUCGUAGGUGGUUGAAAAAGUUAGUGGUGAAAUCCCAGAGCUUAACUCUGGAACUGCCAUUAAAACUUUUCAGCUAGAGUAUGAUAGAGGAAAGCAGAAUUUCUAGUGUAGAGGUGAAAUUCGUAGAUAUUAGAAAGAAUACCAAUUGCGAAGGCAGCUUUCUGGAUCAUUACUGACACUGAGGAACGAAAGCAUGGGUAGCGAAGAGGAUUAGAUACCCUCGUAGUCCAUGCCGUAAACGAUGUGUGUUAGACGUUGGAAAUUUAUUUUCAGUGUCGCAGCGAAAGCGAUAAACACACCGCCUGGGGAGUACGACCGCAAGGUUAAAACUCAAAUGAAUUGACGGGGACCCGCACAAGUAGUGGAGCAUGUGGUUUAAUUCGAAGAUACGCGCAGAACCUUACCAACACUUGACAUGUUCGUCGCGACUCUAAGAGAUUAGAGUUUUCGGUUCGGCCGGACGAAACACAGGUGCUGCAUGGCUGUCGUCAGCUCGUGUCGUGAGAUGUUGGGUUAAGUCCCGCAACGAGCGCAACCCUCACUUUUAGUUGCCAUCAUUAAGUUGGGCACUCUGAAAGAACUGCCAGUGAUAAGCUGGAGGAAGGUGGGGAUGACGUCAAGUCCUCAUGGCCCUUACGUGUUGGGCUACACACGUGCUACAAUGGUAUCUACAACAGGAAGCAAGACUGCGAAGUUAAGCAAAUCCCUAAAAGAUACCUCAGUUCGGAUUGCACUCUGCAACUCGAGUGCAUGAAGCUGGAAUUACUAGUAAUCGUGGAUCAGCGUGCCACGGUGAAUGCGUUCCCGGGUCUUGUACACACCGC